rnacentral:lncRNA from 1 species
GUUAAGAUGCUGUUUGGCUGUUGUUUGGCUUCUGUUAGGAUGCUGUUAGGAUGCUGUUAGGCUGCUGUUAAGCUGCUGUUAGGUUGCUGUUAGGUUGCUGUUAGGUUGCUGUUAGGUUGCUGUUAGGCUGCUGUUUGGCUGCUGUUAGGAUGCUGUUAAGAUGCUGUUUGGCUGUUGUUUGGCUUCUGUUAGGAUGCUGUUAAGAUGCUGUUUGGCUGUUGUUUGGCUUCUGUUAGGAUGCUGUUAGGAUGCUGUUAGGCUGCUGUUAAGCUGCUGUUAGGUUGCUGUUAGGUUGCUGUUAGGUUGCUGUUAGGUUGCUGUUAGGCUGCUGUUUGGCUGCUGUUAGGAUGCUGUUAAGAUGCUGUUUGGCUGUUGUUUGGCUUCUGUUAGGAUGCUGUUAGGAUGCAGUUAGGCUGCUGUUAGGCUGCUGUUAGGUUGCUGUUUGGAUGCUGUUUGUCUGUUGUUAGGAUGCUGUUAGAAUGCUGUUAGGCUGUUAGGUUGCUGUUAAGAUGCAAUUAGGAUGUUUUUUAGCUGCUGUUAGGCUGUUGUUAGGUUGCUUUUAGGAUGCUGUUAAAAUGCAAUUAGGCUGUGGUUAGGUUGCUGUUAGGCUGCUGUUAGGCUGUUAGGAUGCUAAUAGGUUGCUGUUAGGCUGUUAGGAUGCUAAUAGGUUGCUGUUAGGCUGUUAGGAUGUGGUUAGGUUGCUGUUAGGAUGCUGUUCAGAUGCUGUUAGCCUGCUGUUAGGAUGCUGUUAGGCACAUUUUAGGAUGCUGUUAGGCUGCUGUUAGGAUGCUGUUAGGAUGCUGUUAG